GAUGAACGCGGGCGGCGUGCCUAAUACAUGCAAGUCGAGCGAACGGACGAGAAGCUUGCUUCUCUGAUGUUAGCGGCGGACGGGUGAGUAACACGUGGAUAACCUACCUAUAAGACUGGGAUAACUUCGGGAAACCGGAGCUAAUACCGGAUAAUAUUUUGAACCGCAUGGUUCAAAAGUGAAAGACGGUCUUGCUGUCACUUAUAGAUGGAUCCGCGCUGCAUUAGCUAGUUGGUAAGGUAACGGCUUACCAAGGCAACGAUGCAUAGCCGACCUGAGAGGGUGACCGGCCACACUGGAACUGAGACACGGUCCAGACUCCUACGGGAGGCAGCAGUAGGGAAUCUUCCGCAAUGGGCGAAAGCCUGACGGAGCAACGCCGCGUGAGUGAUGAAGGUCUUCGGAUCGUAAAACUCUGUUAUUAGGGAAGAACAUAUGUGUAAGUAACUGUGCACAUCUUGACGGUACCUAAUCAGAAAGCCACGGCUAACUACGUGCCAGCAGCCGCGGUAAUACGUAGGUGGCAAGCGUUAUCCGGAAUUAUUGGGCGUAAAGCGCGCGUAGGCGGUUUUUUAAGUCUGAUGUGAAAGCCCACGGCUCAACCGUGGAGGGUCAUUGGAAACUGGAAAACUUGAGUGCAGAAGAGGAAAGUGGAAUUCCAUGUGUAGCGGUGAAAUGCGCAGAGAUGUGGAGGAACACCAGUGGCGAAGGCGACUUUCUGGUCUGUAACUGACGCUGAUGUGCGAAAGCGUGGGGAUCAAACAGGAUUAGAUACCCUGGUAGUCCACGCCGUAAACGAUGAGUGCUAAGUGUUAGGGGGUUUCCGCCCCUUAGUGCUGCAGCUAACGCAUUAAGCACUCCGCCUGGGGAGUACGACCGCAAGGUUGAAACUCAAAGGAAUUGACGGGGACCCGCACAAGCGGUGGAGCAUGUGGUUUAAUUCGAAGCAACGCGAAGAACCUUACCAAAUCUUGACAUCCUUUGACAACUCUAGAGAUAGAGCCUUCCCCUUCGGGGGACAAAGUGACAGGUGGUGCAUGGUUGUCGUCAGCUCGUGUCGUGAGAUGUUGGGUUAAGUCCCGCAACGAGCGCAACCCUUAAGCUUAGUUGCCAUCAUUAAGUUGGGCACUCUAAGUUGACUGCCGGUGACAAACCGGAGGAAGGUGGGGAUGACGUCAAAUCAUCAUGCCCCUUAUGAUUUGGGCUACACACGUGCUACAAUGGACAAUACAAAGGGCAGCGAAACCGCGAGGUCAAGCAAAUCCCAUAAAGUUGUUCUCAGUUCGGAUUGUAGUCUGCAACUCGACUACAUGAAGCUGGAAUCGCUAGUAAUCGUAGAUCAGCAUGCUACGGUGAAUACGUUCCCGGGUCU
rnacentral:rRNA from 1 species